UACGUAGGGGGCAAGCGUUGUCCGGAUUUAUUGGGCGUAAAGAGCUCGUAGGCGGUUUGUCGCGUCUGCUGUGAAAACUCGGGGCUUAACUCCGGGCCUGCAGUGGGUACGGGCAGACUAGAGUGCGGUAGGGGAGACUGGAAUUCCUGGUGUAGCGGUGAAAUGCGCAGAUAUCAGGAGGAACACCGGUGGCGAAGGCGGGUCUCUGGGCCGUAACUGACGCUGAGGAGCGAAAGUGUGGGGAGCGAACAGG
rnacentral:rRNA from 1 species